rnacentral:SRP_RNA from 1 species
GGCGUCUUCCGCCACCCGGAGCAUGGUCGUCGCUGGAGUGAACGUCGAGGAGGGAUACUUCACGAAGUGCUUCGAGGAGGCCUUGAACGGAACGCUGGCCCCUCUGAUUGGAUGGACCGGGCUGAGCAUUCUGGAGGGAGAGCUU